UUGAACGCUGGCGGCAGGCCUAACACAUGCAAGUCGAGCGGAUGAAGGGAGCUUGCUCCUGGAUUCAGCGGCGGACGGGUGAGUAAUGCCUAGGAAUCUGCCUGGUAGUGGGGGAUAACGUCCGGAAACGGGCGCUAAUACCGCAUACGUCCUGAGGGAGAAAGUGGGGGAUCUUCGGACCUCACGCUAUCAGAUGAGCCUAGGUCGGAUUAGCUAGUUGGAGGGGUAAAGGCCUACCAAGGCGACGAUCCGUAACUGGUCUGAGAGGAUGAUCAGUCACACUGGAACUGAGACACGGUCCAGACUCCUACGGGAGGCAGCAGUGGGGAAUAUUGGACAAAGGGCGAAAGCCUGAUCCAGCCAUGCCGCGUGUGUGAAGAAGGUCUUCGGAUUGUAAAGCACUUUAAGUUGGGAGGAAGGGCAGUAAGUUAAUACCUUGCUGUUUUGACGUUACCAACAGAAUAAGCACCGGCUAACUUCGUG
rnacentral:rRNA from 1 species